UUGUUCGCCUUCUUAUUUUGGCUUCUUUAAGUGAUGCCACGAGGUACAGCUCUUGGCCGCCUUGAGAGCAGGUUCCGGCAAAUGAGGCUCUCGCAUUUGUUCAGACUGUUCUUAAGGAUUGGAGCUCAUCUGUUCCUCCGCUCUUUCCUGCAGCCAUCCUCAAGGAAGGGCCAUGCUAUCGCCCAGUGCUUUCUGAGCUUCUGUCAGCUUGACUGAUACACCUCCCACGAGCUGCUUCAGCAUCUCAAAAGGCCAGAGCUCUGACAAGCACGUAGAAGGUGUUUCUGCGAUCUGUUUUACAGAUGCAUGCUUUCUGCCAGAUCCUAGCGCGUGCUUUAGCUUGUGUUCUUCUCUGGGUUUCCUCGGGAGAAGGGCCUCAGGGAUUCGAGGACACACAGUGGUAGCAGAGUAACCGUAACAGCAGAGGCUCAAUGGGAACGCAGAUAUCUCAGUGGAUACCAGAGAGCACAAGUGAUGGGGACAACCAAAUGGGAUGAGCUACCAUCAUAUAAAGUUGGACCGUGAAGGCGGGUCACUCUUCAUUAUUUCUUACCACUGUCCAGCAACGCCACAAUUUGUUCGCGUGUAAGAUCGUUUUUAUUC